UUUUUGAAGAGCUUGAUCCUGGCUCAGAGUGAACGCUAGCGGUGCGCCUUAGGCAUGCAAGUCGAGCGCCCAGCACUUUGCGGAUGACGAUUCGUCCAUAAAGUGCUGGGAGCGGCAAACGGCUGCGUAACACGUGGGAACCCACCCCGUACUCAGGGAUAACUCACCGAAAGGUGAGCUAAUACCGGAUGGUCUCGUAAGAGUAAAGCUUUUGCGGUACGGGAGGGGCCUGCGGCAUAUCAGCUUGUUGGUAGGGUAACGGCCUACCAAGGCAAUGACGUGUAGCUGGUCUGAGAGGACGACCAGCCAGAAUGGGACUGCGACACGGCCCAUACUCCUACGGGAGGCAGCAGCUAGGAAUCUUCCGCAAUGGGGGCAACCCUGACGGAGCGACACCGCGUGGGGGAUGAAGUGUGUUUCACACGUAAACUCCUGUUCUGAGGGACGAAAUUUUUGACGGUACCUCAGCAGAAAGCACCGGCUAACCCCGUGCCAGCAGCCGCGGUAAGACGGGGGGUGCAAGCGUUACUCGGAAUUACUGGGCGUAAAGCGUCUGCAGGCUUCCCAUACAGGUCUAUUAUGAAAUCGCGGAGCUUAACUCCGCGCCUGUAACAGAAACCAAUGGGAUUGAGUCAUCCAGAGGCACCUGGAAUGCCAUGUGUAGGGGUUAAAUCCGUUGAUCCAUGGUAGAACGCCAAAAGCGAAGGCAGGGUGCUGGGGAUGUACUGACGCUCAGAGACGAAAGCGUGGGGAGCAAAGGGGAUUAGAUACCCCCGUAGUCCACGCCCUAAACUAUGUGUGCUCGGUGUGGGGACUUCAAUCAGUCUCCGUGCCUCAAGCUAACGCGGUAAGCACACCGCCUGAGUAGUACGGCCGCAAGGCUAAAACUUAAAGGAAUAGACGGGGACCCACACAAGCGGUGGAGCAUGGGGUUUAAUUCGAGAAUAAGCGAAGCACCUCACCCAGACUUGACAUCUCGGGAAUCGAUUAGAAAUAGUCGAGUGCCGCAAGGAACCCGAAGACAGGCGUUGCACGGUCGUCGUCAGCUCGUGCCUUGAGGUGUACUGUUAAGUCAGUCAACGAGCGCAACCCUCAUCCUAUGUUGUUCUUUCAUGGGAGACUGCCGCCUCCAAGGCGGAGGAAGGUGGGGAUGACGUCAGAUCAGCGUGACCCUUAUGUCUGGGGCAACACCCGUGCUACAAUGGUCGGUACAAAGGGCAGCUAAGUCGCGAGGCGGAGCUAAUCCCACAAAACCGAUCUCAGUCCGGAUUGCAGUCUGCAACUCGACUGCAUGAAGUUGGAAUCGCUAGUAACCGUGAAUCAGCUACGUCACGGUGAAUAUGUUCCUGGGUCUUGUACUCACCGCCCGUCAAGUCAUGAAAGGCAGAGACACCCGAAGGACCAUUACUUUUCGAAGGUGGUACCACGGUGAAACUGCUGAUUGGGACUAAGUCGUAACAAGGUAUCCGUAGGAGAACCUGCGGAUGGAACGUUUCCUUACCAGGGA
rnacentral:rRNA from 2 species